AGAAUCAACGCUGGCGGCGUGCCUAACACAUGCAAGUCGAACGAGAAAGUGGAGCAAUCCACAAGUAAAGUGGCGCACGGGUGAGUAACACGUGACUAACCUACCCUUGAGUGGGGGAUAACCUAGAGAAAUCUGGGCUAAUACCGCAUAAUACCUUCGGGUCAAAGGAGCAAUUCGCUUAAGGAGGGGUCGCGGCCGAUUAGUUAGUUGGCGGGGUAAUGGCCCACCAAGACUGUGAUCGGUA
rnacentral:rRNA from 1 species